rnacentral:lncRNA from 1 species
UUUUGUAGCUUCUCAAGGAUAUAACGAUGACAACGAUUUCGCAUACAUCAUGAGCAACCCUAUGCCGGUUAAUAAAUAUGGCUUUAUAGAUGGCACGGAAAUGCUUUAUUUUGAUUGGAUGUCUGGAGAACCAACCAAUGAUGGUGGUGGACGAAUAGUCAUGGGCGGAAGCAAUCAGAAGUUUUACAAUGUAGAUAAAGAAGAUCCCCACGGGUUUAUUUGCGAGAAACAUAUUUUGAAGCCAUAAUCUACGGUGAUCAUUCCCGGUUACCUAUAUCUUUAACCAGCUCGGCAACAUCAAGAACGUUGAAUAAUGUAUAUCUACGACAAACUAUACAGUUUAUGUAAAUUAUAAAUUGUAAUAGACAACUUGACAACAACCAGGAGGUCACCUUAAGAACAUCGAAUUAUUGUUUCAUUCACAAAUUUCAAACAGACAUUAAAGUAGUAAAGAACUAUAUGAUAAUCAUGUACAUGUUAAUAUGACUUUCCUUAAAUAAAAAAAAUGUGCACUG